rnacentral:rRNA from 1 species
GAUGAACGCUGGCGGCGCGCCUAAUACAUGCAAGUCAAGCGAACAGACGAGGAGCUUGCUCCUCUGACGUUAGCGGCGGACGGGUGAGUAACACGUGGAUAACCUACCUAUAAGACUGGGAUAACUUCGGGAAACCGGAGCUAAUACCGGAUAAUAUAUUGAACCGCAUGGUUCAAUAGUGAAAGACGGUUUUGCUGUCACUUAUAGAUGGAUCCGCGCCGCAUUAGCUAGUUGGUAAGGUAACGGCUUACCAAGGCGACGAUGCGUAGCCGACCUGAGAGGGUGAUCGGCCACACUGGAACUGAGACACGGUCCAGACUCCUACGGGAGGCAGCAGUAGGGAAUCUUCCGCAAUGGGCGAAAGCCUGACGGAGCAACGCCGCGUGAGUGAUGAAGGUCUUCGGAUCGUAAAACUCUGUUAUUAGGGAAGAACAAAUGUGUAAGUAACUAUGCACGUCUUGACGGUACCUAAUCAGAAAGCCACGGCUAACUACGUG